AGGAUGCGCUAUGAGAAAGAGAGACAGACGCGCAUUCAAGAGGUGCGAAGGGAGAUCUCGCCUCCCAUCCCCACGCUCCAGAAGAGACACAGGACCCCCCAGUCCACCUCCAGUCCCCCCAGCAUGGACAGCAGACGAUCCACCUCCUCCAUGUCUCAAACGGACAAAAACAAGGAGCUGGUCCGUCUCGCAAAGG